rnacentral:rRNA from 1 species
UUAUGGCUCAGGAUGAACGCUAGCUACAGGCUUAACACAUGCAAGUCGAGGGGCAGCAUGAACUUAGCUUGCUAAGUUUGAUGGCGACCGGCGCACGGGUGAGUAACGCGUAUCCAACCUACCCCUUAGUAGGGCAUAGCCCGUAGAAAUGCGGAUUAAUACCCUAUGUUUUCCGGAGACGGCAUCAGAACUGGAACAAAGAUUGAUCGCUAAGGGAUGGGGAUGCGUACGAUUAGGUUGUUGGCGGGUAACGGCCACCAAGCCUGCGAUCGUUAGGGUUCUGAGAGGAAGGUCCCCCACACUGGUACUGAGACACGGACCAGACUCCUACGGGAGGCAGCAGUGAGGAAUAUUGGUCAAUGGGCGUGAGCCUGAACCAGCCAAGUAGCGUGCAGGACGACGGCCCUACGGGUUGUAAACUGCUUUUAUCAGGGGAUAAAGUGCGGGACGUGUCCCUCAUUGCAGGUACCUGAUGAAUAAGGACCGGCUAAUUCCGUGCCAGCCGCCGC